rnacentral:snRNA from 1 species
AUCGCUUCUCGGCCUUUUGGCUAAGAUCAAGUGUAGUAUCAAGGUAGUUAAAAGAAGAGCACAUGAACACCCACAUGAUCUUCA